rnacentral:lncRNA from 1 species
GGGACCCGGAGGAGGCUGAGCCCCCGAGCUGCCCUGAUGGGGAUGGGCCUGGUGAGGCGAGCCUCCGCCCCCCCUCCACCGCCCCCGCCCCCCACCCCGGGCCCAGGGGCCGGGAGGGCCAAGCGGGGGCGUCAGGUGACGCUCGGGGACAGCCUCGGCUACUCACAGGGGUGCCCCGAGUCAGGGAUAACUUAAAGGUGAAAGGGCUUGACAGUAAAGGGAAGGGAGAUAAAGGUGGAGACACAGAGUAACCGAGCUUGAAAGGGACAGCUGGGGUAGGGGCAGCCUGGCCCUCAGGGGUGCACAGCCGAAACCUGGGCUGCGGGGAGAGUGGAGGGCAUCUGAUGGAGGAAACGGUGCUGACCCGGAGGGACUAGAGCCACAGGGCCCAGAGGCAACCCCUCAAGAACCCACAGGUCGCCCCAGCAUUUGGUCCUCUGCGGACAGAAGCCCUGACAUCCCUCCGGUCCCGCGCCGCCCCCUCCACCCCACGUGUGAACCUCCGAAAGCCAGAGGGAAGGCGGUGGGGGAGGGGCUCCUUGGAAAAGAAGAAACACACACACUUUCCCUUUAAUGGAAUGAGUAUUGGGGUUUUAGACGGUCAGUAAAGGACACUUGCCUCUUGCAAUCGUCGUUCAGAAACUAGUGAAGAUGACACACAAGUAGGAUGAUGUUAAAAUACCAGCCUUCCACAUAUACAAAGCUAGUCUGGAAGACAUGCCUUAGAUCUGCAAUCAAGAGGGGAAUACUGACCCACCCCUAAAUCAGACAAACAUCUCCCUCAACCCCUGACCAGAUGGGCAGCUGCAGCCUCCAGGCCACAGAGCUGCCUCACCGAGCACCAUGCAGCCAAGUGCAGGUAAGAAGAUACCACCAGCCUGUGGACCCCACAAAGUGUACUCAGAGGAGCCUGAGCAUACUUUACCCUGUCCAUUCUCCCAAAUUCACCAAUCCAUACUUCGCUGGGAGUAGAAAACAGUUUUUCUCCACUGAUGUUCCUCCACGUGGAAACACAAAGAGUGGGAAUUAGGGCUCCAGCCUACAGUAUGGACAUCUGAAACCCUGAGUCUGGCAAAGCCAAGGGACAGAAGCGGUUUCAGUUGGAGCACACUUUGAGUUUUGAUAUUUUACUGUACUGGAAUUCUUAUGAGCAAAAUAACAAUUUUUUUAAAAUAUCUUGGAAAGAAAAAAAGUGUAAAAAUCCAUCUGAGAAUUCACAGGUAAGACUUUCUAGAGAUAGUCAUGAGAAAAAAUAAUACUUCUCUCUACUUGCACCCUACCAAUUCCAACUCAUUUAAUAAAUUGGAUACAGAAGUCUCCAAAGUUUUUGGCAUGAACAACUGGGCAUAUGAUGGUGUUGUUUACAAAAGUAGAGAAGGUUUUGGGGGAAAUUUCAACUUAGAUUGGAAACAUGUUAAGACAGAUGCUCAUCAGACAUGUAAGUGAGUACACUAGAGUAGACUUGUGUUCAGGAGAGAGGACAAGGCUAGAGAAAGGAAUUUAGGAGUUACCUAUUUUUAGGUGAUGUUUGAGAAUAGGAGAUUGGACAAGAUCAACUAGAAAGUGAGUGUUCCAAAGAAGAUUUUCUGGGUGAGUCCUGGGGCAGGAAUAGUUUCCAGUUCAGAAGAGAAGGAGUAGCCAAAAAAACAGGAGAAAAACCAGGGUAAUGUGGAGUCAGGGAAGCCAGGCAAAGACAUGGUUGCGUAAAGGUUUUAGAGGAAUUGUAAAAUGGGUCUGAGAAUUGAUGAUUCUAAAUGUUGCAAGACAACUUAUUGGUGACUGAUAAGAGCAAUGUUAGGAAAUGUGAAGAGAAGAGCCCGGCAACAGAGUUUUAUUUUGUUUUUAAGGGGGGAAUUUCCAGUUAAACAUGUCAGACUGAGCACAGGCAUUGACUUCCAUUUCCCAUCCAAACUCUAUUUACAUAAAGUAAUAAAAGAUAAAAACUCACAGUGAAAGAACGGGAGAGAAGUUACCAGCAAACUAGAGAGAUCAACACAAUUGUAGAAGUUGUGAUGUAAGAAGUGAUAACUGACCUAGCAAGCCAGAAAAAGCUGAAACCCAUAGGUAGAAGUGAAGCCAUCAAGAAAGAGACCAUUUUUGCUAACAAAUCCAAGGAAGGUGCAGAAAUCGAAAGACCUUUGAAUAAGCAGUAUGGUGAUAGGUCCCUUCCUCUACCUGGGUGGGAGCCUGUAACAGUUGAGUCAGAGCAGGUGUGAACUCAGGAAAGACAGUUGAAGUCUACUGAAAGUGGGGGGGACAGGGGAAGGUUGAGUGAAAGUCUUACACUCGUGUAGGAGCCCGGUCCUGCGCCUUCCAUUCAGCCAUAAGACUUCAGGCAGUAAGAAGAGGAUUUCUCUGGAGCAAAUGGCCCCCCAAAAAAGACCUGCAGACAUUGACAGCUGGGACCCACUGUUAAAGUGGAGAAGCCAAUCGGCUGUUUUGACACAGAGCUUCCAACAAGCUCCUUAGAGCCCCUCAUCAACGUGAGCCAGACAUUUGAGGAAAGCCUCUAUGAAGAAAGACAACAAAACACACCAAAAAAGGGAAUUUUGAGAAAUAGAGAGGAUGCCAGGUGUGGAAGAGGACUUGAACAAAAACAUGUCCUCACAGAGGUAGGAUGUUGCACCCAUGAAACCAGAACCACCUGAUGCUCUUUCCCUCCCUACACUAUUUUCCUCAGUGCUUCCCACUGAUUAGCAGACCAAACAGUUUGCAUAUUUAUCUUGUUUACUGCCUAUCUCUCCAUUAAAAUAUAAGCCCUGUGAGGGCUGACGUUUGUCAUAUCCCCAGCACCUGGAAUAAUGCUUAGCAGACAGUAAAUAUUCCGAAAGUAUAUACUGAAUAAACGAAUGAACAGGAUUCUCUAAAUAAGAAACAUUAAGGAAAAAGACUCUCAGGAAUAAAAAAUAUGGCAUCAGAUUUUAAGUCCCUAGAAUAGCAAUUUAAAAUAGGGAAAUUUUAGGAUAGUGGGAUAAAAAAUAAGGAUAUAAAAAAUAAAGGAGAAAAAAUUAGAGGAUCAAUCCAGGUGGUCAAACGUCUGAAUAUUAGGAGUUGCAAAGGGAAAUAAUGGAGGAAAAGAAUAUAUUAAAUAAUUUCAAAAAAUUCCAACAUAGGCAGAUAAUUUUCCAGACUGAGAAAGCAUGGCAUAUUGUUUUCUAAAGAUUCCUGCAACACCUCCCAUCUCACAUGCUCUUGUACAAUAUGGUCUUAACACUCGUCCCAAUGAGAAGUGGGAUCUACAUCCCAUCCCUUGAAUCUGUAACCAAACACUUGUAAUACCUUGCUGUGAAAGUUAUCCUGCACGAGUUCCAAAGCUGGGGUUGCAUUUUGCUCACUGGAGCACUUGUACUUGGACCCCUGAGAUUCCAUGUAAGAAGUCUGACUACCCUGGGCAACCUUGCCAUGGCCACAUAGUGCAGUCACAUAUUAGCCACUCAGGUUGAAAGGCCCAGCUGAGCCCCCUGCCAACCAUGUGAGUGAACUUGUCUUGGACAUCCAGUCUAAUCAAGCCUUCAAGUGACUGCAACUGUGUGAGCAAUCCCUAGAGAAAGCUGCCCAGCUGAAUCCUUCCCACAUUUGCUACCACAUAUGUUUGGAGUAGUCUGUUACACAGCAAUAACUACUGGGGGGGUGGGGGGGGGGGAAUGCACCACUAAUGCUCAGCACAACAAAUUGGGUGGGUAAUAGAAGAGGGAGACCAACACAAUCAAGCAUGUUUUUGAGAAAUUUAAGAACACUAGGAACAGAUGAUUUGCAAAACUUCCAGCAACAGUAACAACCAAAACAGGAGAAUGAUUACCAAUCUAAAAUUCUAUUUCCAGGGUGCCUGGGUGGCUCAGUCGGUUAAGUGUCCGACUUGAUUUCAGCUCAGGUCAUGAUCCCAGGGUUGUGGAAUUGAGCCCUGUAUCAGGACCCAUGCUGAGCAUGGAACCUACUUGGGAUUCUCUCCCCUGCCCUUCUCCCCUACUUAUGUGUACGUUUUUUCUAAUAAAGAAAUUAAUUAAAAUUAAAAGAUAAGGGGCACCUGGGAAGGUCGGUCAGUCGAGCAUCCGACUUAGCUUAGGUCAUUACCUCACAGUUCAUGGGUUUGAGCACCACAUCGGGCUCUGCUGUCAGCACAGAGCCCCUGUGGGUCCUGCUUCAGAUCCUCAGUCUCUCUCAAAGGUAAAAUAAAUAACAAAAGAAAAUAGGGCACCUGGGUGGUUCUGUUGUUAAGCAUCUGACUCACGUCAUGAUCUCACGGUUUGUGAGCUCAAGCCCCACUCCAGGUGAGCAUGAGCCCUGCUCCAGAUGGGCCUGCUUCUCUCUCUCUCCCUCCCUCUGUCUUUCUGUCCCUCACUUGCUCCGUCUCGCUCUCAAAAUAAAAGAUAAAAUAAAUAAAAUUCUGUUUUCAUUCAAAUGAUAAAUCAAAUUUAAGGGUAGAUAUAAAGACAAGAUAGGAAAGCUCGGAAGGCUGCUAGAAUAUGGGCUCCAUCAAAAUGAGAAAGCAAACGAAGGAAGAGGAAAAUCUAGGACUCAGAAUCCAGGACAUGUCCACACUGUGGCAGAAAAAUGGGUGUUUCCCAGUGGGUCAUCUCCAAAAGAAAGUGGAGCCUAGCACAGUGUUGGAAGGAACUUUACACUUAGCACAAAAAGUUUUGGGUGAAGUAGUGAUAACAGAAAAACAAGUAAACAAGGCAACCAACUCCAGGGAAAACUGAAAAGUUGGACCUGUUAACCUUAAAAAUAAAAUUAUCAGUUAUUCUUGCCAGCAAAAAUGGGUUUAUUUGGGAAUUUCAGAGAACCACAAUGCAAGACAAGCAAGCUAAGGCAAAACCAUAACUCCAAGGAACAAACCAGAACACGGCCUUCUAGAGGAAAAGAGGGAGUUGGGCAGGGCUAUUGUAAACAGAAAAUCAACUGUAGUAAACUGGGUGCUGAAAGUGUUGUGGCUUCUCAUUAGCUGAGCUGCAACUUUCUCCCAUUGCUUGAGCUGUGGCAGUCUCUCAUUGGCCGGACUAUUGCCUGGCCUGGGCAGGAGGAAACCUUCCUUCCUCCAGCUGGGACAGUAAAGUAGUAUCCUGGCAAGAUGUCCCUCUUCCUGAUAGGUCUUCAGUUGGUAGGGCACUAGAGCUCCCCCUACUGGCCUCCUGACUCCAUUUUAAAUGAGGUUUCCUUAAUUUUAACAUAACUAAAGGAAGUGUAAUCAUAUACCAAUACUGGGCUCAAUGGCCAACAGUAUUAAUAGUCAUACUGAACUCCGAAUGCACACUUCAGCCCACAUUUUGUCAAGCUGUUUGGAAGACUAGUAGAAGAGGAAAUGUGGAUAUUUAGGCAUGCAUAAAGUAUGUUGCAGAGAGGAUAGUCUAGGAGAGCUAAGUUCUCUUCCAUUGUGGGAAAUCAACAGAUAAUGUCUAAAAUCAAGAUUAAGAAAUAGCAUUAUUUAAGGUCUUUAUUGAUGAACAUGAAAUUAAUCACUGAAAAAAUCCCUAAAAAAAGUAAAUAGUUUUGUUCUAAGGAAGUGGGGAUUGGCUGGUAGAUUUGGUGGUCGUGGGAUAAGAAGUUCUGUUCUUAGUGCUUCUGUUUUCUCAGUGAAAUAAGCAAGGUCAUCAUCUAAGAAUGCUGGAGGUUUGAGGAGAAUGAGAAGAUACAGUCUUCUUGGAGAGUCUAAAGGAUUAUAAUAGGGAGAUGCUGAGUGCCAAUUUCAGAUUGGUGGUCAUAACUCAGCAUCACCAAAUUUAUUAAUACCUCCUUCUGUGGAUGGCUCAAAUUUAUCCUUCUUCCACACCAACUGCUAACAAACUCAAGAUUAUACCUUUCCUUUUUCACAUGGAUGGCUGCUCAGCACCCCUUUCGAGAUUCCUGCCUUGUCUUGCUGACCAGAAUUGCCCAUAUACCAUCUUUAAAAGAAGUGACCAAGUCACUUCUCUCCUAAUAUCUUCCAACAACUGACUCCCACAGCACUCAGAAUAAGGCAGCAAGGGUCUCUGUGGUCUGGCCUAUCCCCCCUCACUUGGCAGUACUACCACACUGACACCUCCAGGUGCCAUAACCUCUCAGCUACGUCACAUUCUGCCCAGUUCCACCCUGCACUCCCCUCCCGGAAUUCUGUCUUCUCCACAUAAUCCUCUGGUCUCCCCUCUGCUUCCAGGGCAGGGAUAUGCCCUGCACACACCUUCAGAUUGCUAUGUGCAUAUAACAUUGGCUCUCUUGGAUGUGAGCUAGGUGGGCCUGGUGAGCAGGGUUCCUGUGUCUUGUUCGUCCCUGUGUUACUGAUGUCUGACACAUCAGUGAUUGCAACUUAGAAACGAAUGAUGCACACAGAAAUGUAAGCUGCAAACUCCCUCACAGCCUAUGUUGGUGGGUGACAAUGUGAGGAGAUGAAACGUAAGAAUAUCAAAGACACUACACAGGAAAAAAGAGCCUUUCAUUCUGAAAACUUGGGAUGGCCUCAUUAGACACUCAAAUGGUUUAUUUGCAUGAUUAAUAAUCACAUUUCCAACAGUGCAUCAAACAUCUGAGAAGAACAUUAUUUCGAGUAAAGGCAAAAAUCUUCGGGAGACUCUCACUCUCUCAGGUCCCGUAGCUCAAAUGUCCACCAUGUCCAGCAGUGCAGAGAGAUGGAGCUCAGAGGCAACUUCCUCCUCCCUUGAACUCUGCAUCAGCCUUUCCAGGUGCUUGAGCCGUUCAGUCACACAUGUGCCUGUUGCCUCUGACAACUGCAGUUGCUCCCUUGGCCUUUCAUUCUAUUUAAAUAAAAAAGAACCUAAAAA